rnacentral:rRNA from 1 species
GACAGAGGGUGCAAACGUUUGUUCGGAAUUACUGGGCGUAAAGCGAGUGUAGGCGGUUCUCAAAGUCGGAUGUGAAAGCCCCGGGCUCAACCCGGGAAGUGCACCCGAUACUGGAGAGCUAGAGUGUCGGAGAGGUUGGUGGAAUUCUCGGUGUAGAGGUGAAAUUCGUAGAUAUCGAGAGGAACACCGGUGGCGAAGGCGGCCAACUGGACGAACACUGACGCUGAGACUCGAAAGCGUGGGGAGCAAACAGG